rnacentral:lncRNA from 1 species
UUAGAAAAUAAUUUUGGUUUAUUUUAGUCUUCCGCUGUAUGAUCUUGAAAAAAUUUCAAGAUCUAACCCUGAAACCCUAGAUCUGGUUCCUACAAUAAAAUCAGUUUGCAUGUGAAAAAACUAGAAAAUAAUCAUUAUUUUAUCUCCCAUUAAGGAUAAGAAUUGGUUGGUUUUGAUUUGAAUUCAAAUUGGUUUGAAUUUCAACUGAAAACUUAUCCAUAUCCUUCCACACAUUG